CACGUAGGGUGCGAGCGUUGUCCGGAAUUAUUGGGCGUAAAGAGCUCGUAGGCGGUUUGUUGCGUCUAUCGUGAAAACCUGCAGCUUAACUGUGGGCUUGCGGUGGAUACGGGCAGACUUGAGUUCGGUAGGGGAGACUGGAAUUCCUGGUGUAGCGGUGAAAUGCGCAGAUAUCAGGAGGGACACCGGUGGCGAAGGCGGGUCUCUGGGCCGAUACUGACGCUGAGGAGCGAAAGCGUGGGGAGCGAACAGG
rnacentral:rRNA from 1 species